CCCGCAUCCUCCCUUCCCUGCCCACCCCACCUCGGUGGGGGAGGGGUCCCCCCAUGCCAACAGCACACUGCUGCCCACCUUCAUAAGGGGGAUUUCAGUGUUCUCUCGCACCGCUCGGGGUCCUGCCUGCAGAAUGACUUUGGUCCCAUUAAACCUCUUCGUUAACGACGUGGGCGAUGGGGCGGAGCGCCCCAAGGAAGUCUGCGGGUGAUGCAAUGCGGGGAGAAGUGGAUGAUGGAUGGCUGAGCUCAUGCUGCCACCCAGAGGACUCUGGGCACGAUGGAGAAAUGGGCUGCAGGAACCCCAUGGAGCUCAGCAAGGAGCAGUGCGCGGAGAUAUGGUGGGCAUAUUGGAUGAAAUGAGCUCCAGAGGUUCCCUACAACCCCAACCAUCCCAUGACCGUGUGGGGUUCUUUCCAAACCCAACCAUCCCAUGGUCCUAUAGUGUUCCUUCCAACCCCAACCAUCCCAUGUUCCUAUGCGAUUCCUUCCAACCCCAACCAUCCCAUUAUUAUGUGAGGUUCCUUCCAACCCCAACCAUCCCAUAGUCCUGUGAGGUUCCACCCAACCCCAACCAUCCCAUUAUCAUAUGAGAUUCCUUCCAACCCCAACCACCCAUGAUCCUAUGAAGUUCCUUCCAACCCCAACCAUCCCAUUAUCAUGUGAGGUUCCUUCCAACCACAACCAUCCUAUUAUCAUGUGAGAUUCCUUCCAACCCCAACCAUCCCAUGGUCCUGUGGGGCUCUUUCCAACCCCAACCAUCCCAUGAUCCUAUAGUGUUUCUUCCAAUCCCAACCAUUCCAUGGUCCUGUGAGAUUCCUUCCAACCCCAACCAUCCCAUGAUCCUGAGAGGUUCCUUCCAACCCCAACCAUCCCAUGGCCCUAUGAAAUUCCUUCCAACCCCAACCAUCCCAUUAUCCUGUGAAGUUCCUUCCAACCCCAACCAUUCCAUGGUCCUAUAGUGUUCCUUCCAACCCCAACCAUCCCAUGAUCCUAUAGUGUUCCUUCCAACCCCAACCAUCCCAUGGUCCUGUGGGGCUCCUUCCAACCCCAACCAUCCCAUGGCCCUAUGGUGUUCCUUCCAACCCCAACCAUCCCAUGGUCCUAUGAAGUUCCUACCAACCUCAACCAUCCCAUGGUCCUAUGGAGUUCCUUCCAACCCCAACCAUCCCACAGCCCUGUGGGGCUCCUUCCAACCCAACCAUCCCAUGGUCUAAUAGUGUUCCUUCCAACCCCAACAAGUCCGUGGUCCUAUGGUGUUACUUCCAACCCCAACCAUCCCAUGGUCUUGUGGGGCUCUUUCCAAUCCCAACCAUCCCAUGAUCCUACAAAGUUCCUUCCAACCCCAACCAUUCCAUGACCCUGUGGGGUUCCACCCAACCCCAACCAUCCCAUGGUCCUAUAGUGUUCCUUCCAACCCCAACCAUCCCAUACCCCUAUGGUGUCCCUUCCAACCCCAACCAUCCCACAACCCUGUGGGGCUCCUUCCAACCCCAACGAUCCCAUGGCCCUGUGGUGUCCCUUCCAACCCCAACCAUCCCAUGGUCCUGUGGGGUUGAUCCAUUGGGAUCUAUAUGGGAUCUGUAUGGGAUCAAGUGGGACCUAUGGGAUCUCUGUGGGAUCCAUUGGGUUCCAUGGGGCCUGUAUGGGAUCUCUGUGGGAUCUAUUGGGAUCUAUGGGGUCUGUAUGGGAUCUGUAUGUGUUCCAUUUGGAUCUAUGGCGUCUCUAUGGGAUCUAUUGGUUUCUAUGGGGUCUCUAUCAGAUCUCUAUGGGAUCCAGUGGGAUCCACGACGUCCCUUUUGGAUCUCUAUGGGAUCCAGUGGGAUCUAUGGGGUCUCUAUGGGAUCUCUUGGGAUCUAUGAGGUCUCUAUGGGAUCUCUGUGGGAUCCAUUGGGAUCUAUGGGGUCUCUAUGGGAUCUCUAUGGGAUCCAGUGGGAUCUAUGAGGUCUCUAUGGGAUCCAUUGGGUUAUAUGGGGUCUCUAUAGGAUCUCUAUGGGAUCCAGUGGGAUCUAUGGGGUCUCUAUGGGAUCUCUAUGGGAUCCAUUGGGUUCUAUGGGGUCUCUAUGGGAUUCAUUGGGAUCUAUGGGGUCUAUAUGGGAUCUCUGCGAGAUCCGUUGGGUUCUAUGGCGUCUCUAUGGGGUCUCUAUGGGAUCCAUUGGGAUCUAUGGGAUCUCUAUGGGAUCCCUCUGGCAUAUAUGGGUUCUCUGUGGGAUCUCUGUGGGAUCCCAAUAGGAUCUGUGGGUCCCCACAGUGUCGUCGUUGUCCCCCCCCAUAAAGAACAUAAGCGACGCUAUGGGGCACAGCAGCGUUUAUUGGACGGCACCACGAGGGGGGGAGAGAGGGGGCAGACAACGCUGUGGGGCACGGGGAGGGGGGGGGGAAUCUAUGGGGCAGAGGGGGGGUGAAUCUAUGGGGCAGAAGGGGGUGAUGCUAUGGGGCACGGGGGGGGAAUCUAUGGGGCAGAGGGGGGCGAUGCUAUGGAGUGGGAUGGCAAUGAUGUGGGGCACAGAGGGGGCGCUGUGGGGUAGAGGGGGCGAUGCUAUGGGGGAGAAGGGGCAAUUCUAUGGGGCAGAGAGGGACGAUGCUGUGGGCCAGAGAGGUGAUGGUAUGGGGCAGAGGGGGCGAUGCUAUGGGGCUGGUGGUGAUGCUAUGGGGCAGAGGGGGAUGUUGCUAUGGGGCAGAGGGGGGUGAUGCUAUGGGGCAGAGAGGGACGAUGCUAUGGGGCACAGAGGGAGGAUGCUAUGGGGCAGAGGGGGUGAUGCUAUGGGGCACGGGGGGGGGAAUCUAUGGGGCAGAGGGGGGCGAUGCUAUGGGGUGGGAUGGCAAUGAUGUGGGGCAUAGAGGGGGCGCUGUGGGGCAGAGGGGGGCGUUGCUAUGGGGCAGAGGGGGGUGAUGGUGUGGGGCAGAGGGGGGCGAUGCUAUGGGGCGGAGAGGGUGAUGCUGUGGGGCAGAGGGGGGCGAUGUUAUGGGGCGGAGAGGGAGAUGCUAUGGAGCAGAGGGGUGAUGGUAUGGGGGGGGGAUCUAUGGGGCAGGGGGGGGCGAAUCUAUGGGGCAGAAGAGGAUGAUGCUACGGGGUGGGAUGGCAAUGAUGUGGGGCACAGAGGGGGCGCUGUGGGGCAGAGUGCGGCGUUGCUAUGGGGCAGAGGGGGGGUGAUGCUAUGGGGCAGAGAGGCUGAUGCUAUGGGGCAGAGAAGGAGAAUGCUAUGGGGCAGAGAGGGUGAUGCUAUGGGGCACGGGAGGGGGAAUCUAUGGGGCAGAGGGGGGCGAUGCUAUGGGGUGGGAUGGCAAUGAUGUGGGGCACAGAGGGGGCACUGUGGGGCAGAGGGGGCGAUGCUAUGGGGGAGAAGGGGCAAUUCUAUGGGGCAGAGGGGGACGAUGCUGUGGGUCAGAGAGGUGAUGGUAUGGGGCAGAGGGGGCGAUGCUAUGGGGCUGGUCGUGAUGCUAUGGGGCAGAGGGGGAUGUUGCUAUGGGGCAGAGGGGGGUGAUGCUAUGGGGCAGAGGGGUGAUGCUAUGGGGCAGAGGGGCAAUGCUAUGGGGCAGGAGAGGUGAUGCUAUGGGGUGGGAUGGCAAUGAUGCGGGGCAUAGAGGGGGCGCUGAGGGGCAGAGGGGGGCGUUGCUAUGGGGCAGAGGGGGGCGAUGCUGUGGGGCAGAGGGGGCAAUGCUAUGGGGCAGAGGGGUGAUGCUAUGGGGCAGAGGGGGGUGAUGCUAUGGGGCAGAGGGUCAAUGCUAUGGGGCAGACGAGGGCGAUGCUGUGGGGCAGAGAGGGCAAUGCUAUGGGGCAGGGGGGGAAUCUAUGGGGCAGAGGGGGAUGAUGCUGUGGGGCAGAGAGAAUGCUAUGGGGUAGAGGAGGGCGAUGCUAUGGGGCAGAGAGGGAGAUGCUAUGGGGUAGAGGGCGGUGAUGCUAUGGGGCAGAGGGGGCAAUGCUAUGGGGCAGAAGGGGUGAUGCUAUGGGGUGGGAUGGCAAUGAUGUGGGGCACAGAGGGGGGCGCUGUGGGGCAGAGGGGGCGAUGCUAUGGGGGAGAAGGGGCAAUUCUAUGAGGCAGAGAGGGACGAUGCUGUGGGCCAGAGAGGUGAUGGUAUGGGGCAGAGGGGGCGAUGCUAUGGGGCUGGUGGUGAUGCUAUGGGGCAGAGGGGGAUGUUGCUAUGGGGCAGAGGGGAGUGAUGCUAUGGGGCAGAGGGGUGAUGCUAUGGGGCAGAGGGGCAAUGCUAUGGGGCAGGAGAGGUGAUGCUAUGGGGUGGGAUGGCAAUGAUGUGCGGCAUAGAGGGGGCGCUGAGGGGCAGAGGGGGGCGUUGCUAUGGGGCAGAGGGGGGUGAUGCUAUGGGGCAGAGAGGCUGAUGCUAUGGGGCAGAGAGGGAGAAUGCUAUGGGGCAGAGAGGGUGAUGCUAUGGGGCACGGGAGGGGGAAUCUAUGGGGCAGAGGGGGGCGAUGCUAUGGGGUGGGAUGGCAAUGAUGUGGGGCACAGAGGGGGCACUGUGGGGCAGAGGGGGCGAUGCUAUGGGGGAGAAGGGGCAAUUCUAUGGGGCAGAGAGGGACGAUGCUGUGGGCCAGAGAGGUGAUGGUAUGGGGCAGAGGGGGCGAUGCUAUGGGGCUGGUGGUGAUGCUAUGGGGCAGAGGGGGAUGUUGCUAUGGGGCAGAGGGGGGUGAUGCUAUGGGGCAGAGAGGGACGAUGCUAUGGGGCACAGAGGGAGGAUGCUAUGGGGCAGAGGGGGUGAUGCUAUGGGGCACGGGGGGGGGAAUCUAUGGGGCAGAGGGGGGCGAUGCUAUGGGGUGGGAUGGCAAUGAUGUGGGGCAUAGAGGGGGCGCUGUGGGGCAGAGGGGGGCGUUGCUAUGGGGCAGAGGGGGGUGAUGGUGUGGGGCAGAGGGGGGCGAUGCUAUGGGGCGGAGAGGGUGAUGCUGUGGGGCAGAGGGGGGCGAUGUUAUGGGGCGGAGAGGGAGAUGCUAUGGAGCAGAGGGGUGAUGGUAUGGGGGGGGGAUCUAUGGGGCAGGGGGGGGCGAAUCUAUGGGGCAGAAGAGGAUGAUGCUACGGGGUGGGAUGGCAAUGAUGUGGGGCACAGAGGGGGCGCUGUGGGGCAGAGUGCGGCGUUGCUAUGGGGCAGAGGGGGGGGUGAUGCUAUGGGGCAGAGAGGCUGAUGCUAUGGGGCAGAGAAGGAGAAUGCUAUGGGGCAGAGAGGGUGAUGCUAUGGGGCACGGGAGGGGGAAUCUAUGGGGCAGAGGGGGGCGAUGCUAUGGGGUGGGAUGGCAAUGAUGUGGGGCACAGAGGGGGCACUGUGGGGCAGAGUGGGGCGUUGCUAUGGGGCAGAGGGGGGUGAAGCUGUGGAGCAGAGUGGUGAUGCUAUGGGGCAGAGGGGGGAUGGGGCUAUGGGGCAGGGGAGGCUGAGAAGUGGGGCAGGGUGGGAUGACGCUAUGGGGCACUGUGGGGCGCGGAGGGGCGGUGCUGCUGUGGGGCUGAGCAGAGGUUUGGGGGCUGAAGUUGUGGGGCACAACAGGGGGUGCAAACGGGGCUGCCCCAUAGAUUUGGGGGCUGCCCCAUAAGUGUGCAUAUGUGGGUCCGGAGCUGCCCCAUAGAUUGCAUAGCUGCAGUUGUGGGGCUGCCCCAUAAGUGUGCGUAUGUGGGUCUGGGGCUGCCCCAUAAGUGGGUACCUAGAGCUGUGGGGCUGCCCCAUAGAUUGCAUAGCGGGGGCUGUGGGGCUGCCCCAUAAGUGUGCGUAUGUGGGUCAGGGGCUGCCCCACAGAUUGCAUAGGGGCGGUUGUGGGGCUGCCCCAUAAGUGUGCGUAUGUGGGUCAGGGGCUGCCCCAUAGAUUGCAUAGCGGGGGCUGUGGGGCUGCCCCAUAAGUGUGCGUAUGUGGGUCAGGGGCCACCCCAUAGAUUGCAUAGUGGGGGUUGUGGGGCUGCCCCAUAGCAUAUGUGGGUCAGGGGCUGUCCCAUAAGUGUGCGUAUGUGGGUCUGGGGCUGCCCCAUAAGUGAGUGCCUCGAGCUGUGGGGCUGCCCCAUAGAUUGCAUAGCAGCAGUUGUGGGGCUGCCCCGUAAGCGUGCGUAUGUGGGUCUGGGGCUGCCCCAUAGACUGCAUAGGGGCGGUUGUGGGGCCGCCCCAUAAGUGUGAAUAUGUGGGUCAGGGGCUGCCCCAUAGAUUGCAUAGCGGGGGCUGUGGGGCUGCCCCAUAAGUGUGCGUAUGUGGGUCAGGGGCUGCCCCAUAGAUUGCAUAGUGGGGGUUGUGGGGCUGCCCCAUAGCAUAUGUGGGUCAGGGGCUGCCCUGUAAGUGUGCGUAUGUGGGUCUGGGGCUGCCCCAUAGAUUGCAUAGCGGGGGCUGUGGGGCUGCCCCAUAGCAUUUGUGGGUCAGGAGCUGUCCCAUAAGUGUGCGUAUGUGGGUCUGGGGCUGCCCCAUAAGUGAGUGCCUCGAGCUGUGGGGCUGCCCCAUAGAUUGCAUAGCAGCAGUUGUGGGGCUGCCCCGUAAGUGUGCGUAUGUGGGGCAGGAGCUGCCCCAUAGAUUGCAUAGCUGCAGUUGUGGGGCUGCCCCAUAAGUGUGCGUAUGUGGGUCAGGGGCCGCCCCAUAGAUUGCAUAGUGGGGGCUGUGGGGCUGCCCCAUAGCAUAUGUGGGUCAGGAGCUGCCCCAUAAGUGUGCGUAUGUGGAUCGAAGGCUACCCCAUAGAUUGCAUAGCGGGGGCUGUGGGGCUGCCCCAUAAGUGUGUAUGUGGGGCUGCCCCAUAGUGCCCACCUCACUCCAUAGUGCUGCCCCAUAGAGCUGCCCUAUAGCUCUGCCCCAUAGUGCUGCCCCAGAUCUCUGCCCCAUAGUGCUGCCCCAUAGCACUGCCCCCCAUGGCUGCCCCAUAGCCCUACCCUAUAGCCCUACCCCACAGCUCUUCCCCAUAGCCCUACCCCACAGUGCUGCCCCACAGCGCUGCCCCAUAGCACUGUCCCAUAGUGCUGCCCCACAGCUCUGCCCCAUAGCCCUGCCCCAUAGCGCUGCCCCACAGUGCUGCCCCAUAGCACUGUCCCAUAGUGCUGCCCCAUAGCCCAGCCCCAUAGAGCUGCCCCACAGCACUUCCCCAUAGCCCCGCUCCAUAGCGCUGCCCCACAGCCCUGCCCCAUAGCACUGCCCCAAAGCGCUGCCCCAUAGCCCUACCCCACAGCUCUGCCCCAUAACCCUGCCCCACAUCCCUUCCCCACAUCCCUGCCCCACAGCCCUGCCCCAUAGCCCAGCCCCAUAGCACUACCCCAUAGCUUCCCUAUAGCCCUGCCCCACAGCGCUGCCCCAUAGCUCUGCCCCAUAGCCCAGCCCCAUAACUGUCCCAUAACUUCUUCAUAACUUUGCCCCAUAGCAACCCAAUAGCUCAGCCCCAUAGCAACCCCACAGCUGCCCCAUAGCAGCCCCACAGCUGCCCCAUUACCCUUCCCUAUAGCAACCCUAUAGCUGCCCCAUAGCCCAGCCCCAUAGCAGCCCCAUAACCCUGCCCCAUAACUGCCCCACAGCAGCCCCACAUCUGCCCCAUAGCCCUGCCCCCCAGCUGCCCCAUAGCAGCCCCAUAGCCCAGCCCCAUAGCAGCCCCAUAGCUUCCCCUUAUCCCUGCCCCAUAACAGCCCCAUAGGUGCCCCAUAGCUCUGCCCCAUAGCUGCCCCAUAGCUGCCCCAUAGGUGCCCCCCAGCUGCCCCAUAGCCCCCCAGCUGCCCCAUAGCAGCCCCAUAGGUGCCCCAUAGCAGCCCCACGGCUGCCCCAUAGGUGCCCCCCAGCUGCCCCAUAGCAGCCCCAUAGGUGCCCCAUAGCAGCCCCACUGCUGCCCCAUAGCAUCACCUCAGCUCUGCCCCAUAGCAGCCCCAUAGGUUCCCCACAGCUGCCCCAUAGCUGCCCCACAGCAUCACCACAGCUCAGCAGCCCCAUAGCAGCCCCACAGCUGCCCCAUAGCAGCUCAGUGUGCCUCAGUGCCCCCCAGCUGCCCCAUAGCCCCCCAGCUGCCCCAUAGCAGCCCCGCAGGUGCCCCAUAGCAGCCCCCCAGCUGCCCCAUAGGUGCCCCCCAGCAGCCCCAUAGCAGCCCCAUAGGUGCCCCAUAGCAUCACCACAGCUCUGCCCCAUAGCAGCCCCAUAGGUGUCCCCCAGCUGCCCCAUAGCCCUCUAGCUGCCCCAUAGCAGCCCCAUAGGUGCCCCAUAGCCCCACAGCUGCCCCAUAGCAGCCCAAUAGGUGCCCCCCAGCUGCCCCAUAGCCCCCCAUAGCCCCCAUAGCAGCUCAGUGUGCCUCAGUGCCCCCCAGCUGCCCCAUAGCAGCCCCAUAGCUGCCCCAUAGCAGCCCCAUAGCAGCUCAGUGUGCCUCAGUGCCCCCCAGCUGCCCCAUAGCAGCCCCAUAGGUGCCCCAUAGCCCCCCAGCUGCCCCAUAGCAGCCCCAUAGGUACCCCAUAGGUGCCCCAUAGCAGCCCCACAGCUGCCCCACAGCUGCCCCAUAGCAGCCCCAUAGCAGCUCAGUGUGCCUCAGUGCCCUCCCAGUACUCGCGGGCCCCGGUGGGUUUGGGGCUGUGCGCCCCCCCUUCGCCCCCAUCCUCCUCGGGGGUCCCAAAACCGCCACCGCCGGGGGUCAGAAGGAUGAAUACGUCCUGGGGGGGCAACGGGGGUCAGUGGGGGUCAUGGGGGGGCAAUGGGGGGGAAAUGGGGGGCAAUGGGGGGCAAUGGGGGCAAUGGGGGAAAUGGGGGAAAUGGGGGG
rnacentral:lncRNA from 1 species